CAGUCGCCGCGGUAAUACGUAGGUGGCAAGCGUUGUCCGGAAUUAUUGGGCGUAAAGCGCGCGCAGGUGGUUUAAUAAGUCUGAUGUGAAAGCCCACGGCUCAACCGUGGAGGGUCAUUGGAAACUGUUAAACUUGAGUGCAGGAGAGAAAAGUGGAAUUCCUAGUGUAGCGGUGAAAUGCGUAGAGAUUAGGAGGAACACCAGUGGCGAAGGCGGCUUCUUGGCCUGUAACUGACACUGAGGCGCGAAAGCGUGGGGAGCAAACAGGAUUAGAUACCCCAGUAGUCCCUGUCUCUUAUAC
rnacentral:rRNA from 1 species